UGUUUUUCAAAAACAUGUCCUUUAGAAUUGAAUUGAAGGUCUAACCUGCCCACUGAUUUAUUAAAUGGCCGCAGUAUUUUAACUGUGCAAAGGUAGCAUAAUCAUUAGUCUUUUAAUUGGAGGCUUGUAUGAAUGGUUGGACAAAAUAUAUGUUGUUUCAUAUAAAUUUAUAGAAUUUUAUUUUUUAGUUAAAAAGCUAAAAUUUACUUAAAAGACGAGAAGACCCUAUAGAUCUUUAUAAUUAUUAAAUUUUAUUUAUUAAGAAUAUUUUAUAUUUAAUUUAGAAAAUUAUUUUAUUGGGGUGAUAGUAAAAUUUAGUUAACUUUUAUAUAAUUAAUUACAUUGAUUUAUGAUUAGUUGAUCCAAUAAUAUUGAUUAUUAAAUUAAGUUACCUUAGGGAUAACAGCGUAAUUUUUUUAGAGAGUUCAUAUCGAUAAAAAAGAUUGCGACCUCGAUGUUGGAUUAAGAUAUAUAUUUAGGUGUAGCCGUUUAAAUAUUAAGUCUGUUCGACUUUUUAAUUCUUACAUGAUCUGAGUUCCAAACC
rnacentral:rRNA from 1 species